rnacentral:rRNA from 1 species
GACGAACGCUGGCGGCGUGCCUAAUACAUGCAAGUCGAGCGCAGGAAACUGACGGAACUCUUCGGAGGGAAGGCAGUGGAAUGAGCGGCGGACGGGUGAGUAACACGUAAGGAACCUGCCUCAAGGAUUGGGAUAACUCCGAGAAAUCGGAGCUAAUACCGGAUAGUUCAACGGACCGCAUGGUCCGCUGAUGAAAGGCGCUCCGGCGUCACCUUGAGAUGGCCUUGCGGUGCAUUAGCCAGUUGGUGGGGUAACGGCUCACCAAGGCGACGAUGCAUAGCCGACCUGAGAGGGUGAUCGGCCACACUGGGACUGAGACACGGCCCAGACUCCUACGGGAGGCAGCAGUAGGGAAUCUUCCACAAUGGACGAAAGUCUGAUGGAGCAACGCCGCGUGAGUGAUGAAGGUUUUCGGAUCGUAAAACUCUGUUGUAAGGGAAGAACACGUACGAGAGGAAAUGCUCGUACCUUGACGGUACCUUACGAGAAAGCCACGGCUAACUACGUGCCAGCAGCCGCAGUAA